GGUCAGGCUGAAGACCUUACCCGAUUAGCUGAGAGGUGGUGCAUGGCCGUCGUCAGUUCGUACUGUGAAGCAUCCUGUUAAGUCAGGCACGAGCGAGACCCACGUCCACAGUUGCCAGCAUACCCUCCGGGGUGAUGGGUACACUGUGGAGACCGCCGCUGCUAAAGCGGAGGAAGGAGUGGGCAACGGUAGGUCAGUAUGCCCCGAAUCUCCCGGGCUACACGCGGGCUACAAUGGUUGGUACAAUGGGCAUCUACCCCGAAAGGGGAAGGAAAUCUCUUAAAGCCAAUCGUAGUUCGGAUUGAGGGCUGCAACUCGCCCUCAUGAAGCUGGAAUCCGUAGUAAUCGCGUUUCAACAGAACGCGGUGAAUACGUCCCUGCUCCUU
rnacentral:rRNA from 1 species